rnacentral:rRNA from 1 species
CGUCUAUAUACGUAUAGCAUAUCAAUAAGCGGAGGAAAAGAAACUAACAAGGAUUCCCCUAGUAACGGCGAGUGAAGCGGGAAGAGCUCAAAUUUGAAAUCUUCAAGGGUUUACCUUUACGAAUUGUAGUUUAAAGAAGUGUUUUCUGUUGGUGUUUUGGUAAAAGUUCUUUGGAAUAGGACAUCAUAGAGGGUGAGAAUCCCGUAUUUGACCAUUACUUCCAGCGUUGUGAUACACUUUCAAAGAGUCGGAUUGUUUGGGAAUGCAGUCCAAAAUGGGUGGUAAAUUUCAUCUAAAGCUAAAUAUUGGCGAGAGACCGAUAGCGAACAAGUACCGUGAGGGAAAGAUGAAAAGAACUUUGAAAAGAGAGUUAAACAGUACGUGAAAUUGUCAAAAGGGAAGCGUUUGACACCAGUGUUGUUUUUCCGAAAAUCAAUUACGAAUGGCUUGAUUUUGUGUUGUAUUGACCUUAUCAGCUUUCUGCACUUUUUUCGAGUCUUUCUUAAUGCACUUUUCGGUUAACAAGUCAACAUCAAUUUCUUUUGUUGUAAAAGAGUAUUCGGAAGGUGGCUUUCUUUUCGGAGAAAGUGUUUAUAGCCCUAUACUUCUACAAUCGGAGAGAUUGAGGUCUGCAGCGUAGAUCCUUCGGGGUUAGAUACAUUUGUGCUAAGUUGUAGCUUUUCAUAGACAACUUGUUGACUAUGUUUAGUCAUGCGGCUUACUCGCUUAUGCUAUUUUACCUACGCUUAGGAUGUUGACUGAUAUGUAGUCGUA